AUGAAACUAAUAUUCCACAAUCUCUAUGUAAAUGAAGAAGAUACGGCAGGGACAAAACACAAUACAUCAUUCGUCUGCGUGCUCAAGAUGCUCAGCAACACCACUCUGGACUCGGUGUACGAACUCCGGCGAAAGCAGCUCCGGGAAACUGUCGGGUACUUCUACAGUCGGGUCGGGUCGGCGGUAAACAUCGGCGAGCAGAUGUUCUUGAACGUGCUCAAUGUUAUCACCAACACGUUGUGGGGUGGGACGGUGGAGGGGGACGAGAGGGCUGGACUUGGAGCCGAGUUUCGGGAAGUUGUAUCGGAGAUGACGGAGCUUAUGAGGAAGCCGAAUGUUUCGGACUUUUACCCGGGUUUGGCCCGGUUCGAUUUGCAAGGCGUGGAGAAGCAGAUGGCGGGGUUGGCUCGGAGGUUUGAUGGGAUAUUUGAGAAGGUAAUUGAUCAACGGCUGCGGAUGGAGAAAGAAGGUGUGAAAAAGAGCAUUGAUGUUUUGACGUUUUUGUUGAAGUUGAAAGACGAGGGAGGAGAUUCGAAGACGCCUUUCACUAUGACCCAUGUCAAAGCUCUGCUUAUGGAUAUGGUGGUGGGUGGCACUGACACUUCCUCCAACACAGUUGAGUUUGCAUUGGCUGAAAUUAUGCACAGACCAGAGGUGAUGAAAAAAGCCCAGCAAGAACUAGAAGCUGUAGUUGGCAAACACAACAUUGUAGAAGAGUCUCAUAUUCAUAAUCUACCCUACUUACAAGCUGUGAUGAAAGAAACUCUGCGCUUGCACCCAGCCCCUGCCACUACUAGUCCCUCACUGCCCAAGUGAAACCUGCACUGUGGGCGGCUACACCAUCCCGAAAGGGUCUCGGAUUUUCGUGAACGUCUGGGCAAUACACAGGGAUCCUUCUAUUUGAGUAAACCCAUUGGUGUUUGAUCCAGAAAGGUUCUUGAACAGCAAAUGGGACUAUAGUGGAAAUGACUUCAACUACUUCCCAUUUGGGUCUGGCAGAAGGAUAUGCGCUGGGAUUGCAAUGGCUGAGAGGAUGGUGAUGCAUUCACUUGCUACACUUGUGCACUCUUUUGACUGGACAUUGCCACAAGGACAGAAGUUGGAUCUUUCAGAGAAGUUUGGGAUUGUGCUGAAAAAGAAGAUCCCUUUGGUUGCUAUCCCAACUCCUAGGUUAUCUGAUCCUGCACUCUAUGAUUAGCCAACUUCAUUUAGGACCGCAAGGAUUUAUUGGGAUAU